rnacentral:rRNA from 1 species
GAUGAACGCUGGCGGCGUGCUUAACACAUGCAAGUCGAACGGAAAGGCCCUGCUUUUGUGGGGUGCGCGAGUGGCGAACGGGUGAGUAACACGUGAGUAACCUGCCCUUGACUUGGGGCUGACUUCAGGAAACUGGGGCUAAUACCGGAAAGGAGCUCCUGCUGCAUGGUGGGGGUUGGAAAGUGGCGGCGGUUGGGGUUGGACUCGCGGCUUAUCAGCUGGUUGGUGGGGUAGUGGCUUACCAAGGAUUUGACGGGUAGCCGGCGGGGGAGGGGGACCGGCCACCAAGGUGGGGAGAGAGCGCCGGCCCGGCUACGGGGGGCAGCAGGGGGGAAGAAUUUUCCGGGAAGGGGAGAAUGCUGGAGGAGCGACGGGUGGGGGAGGGAGGACUACUGGUGGUAGGGAACUUCCUUUUCUGGGGAAGGAGGAGUGACGGUAUCUGAGGAAGAAGCACCGGCUAACUACGUG